rnacentral:rRNA from 1 species
ACGGGGUGCAGCAGGCGCGAAAACUCUCCAAUGUGCGAAAGCGUGAGAGGGGAACUCCUAGUGCUAUGGGUUUAUCCCAUGGCUUUUGCCAAGUGUAAAUAGCUUGGCGAAUAAGUGAUGGGCAAGACUGGUGCCAGCGCCGCGGUAA